rnacentral:rRNA from 1 species
GAUGAACGCUGGCGGCGUGCCUAAUACAUGCAAGUCGAGCGAACAGACGAGGAGCUUGCUCCUCUGACGUUAGCGGCGGACGGGUGAGUAACACGUGGAUAACCUACCUAUAAGACUGGGAUAACUUCGGGAAACCGGAGCUAAUACCGGAUAAUAUAUUGAACCGCAUGGUUCAAUAGUGAAAGACGGUUUUGCUGUCACUUAUAGAUGGAUCCGCGGCGCAUUAGCUAGUUGGUAAGGUAACGGCCUACCAAGGCAACGAUGAGUAGCCGACCUGAGAGGGUGACCAGCCACACUGGGACUGAGACACGGUCCAGACUCCUACGGGAGGCAGCAGUGGGGAAUCUUCCGCAAUGGGCGAAAGCCUGACGCAGCAACGCCGCGUGAGUGAUGAAGGUCUUCGGGUCGUAAAGCACUGUUAUCAGGAAAGAACACAUGGGUACUUAACUAGGCACGUCUUGACGGUACCUAAUGAGUAAGCCACGGCUAACUACGUG